rnacentral:rRNA from 1 species
GGCCUAACACAUGCAAGUCGGACGGUAACAGGAGAGAAGCUUGCUUUUCUUGCUGACGAGUGGCGGACGGGUGAGUAACGCGUGGGAAUCUACCCUUUAGUUGGGGACAACAUAUGGAAACGUAUGCUAAUACCGAAUAUGCUCUACGGAGUAAAGGUGCCCUCUCCUUGGAAGGUAUCGCUAAAGGAUGAGCCCGCGUUAGAUUAGCUAGUUGGUAGGGUAAAGGCCUACCAAGGCGACGAUCUAUAGCUGGUUUGAGAGGAUGAUCAGCCACACUGGGACUGAGACACGGCCCAGACUCCUACGGGAGGCAGCAGUGGGGAAUAUUGCACAAUGAGGGAAACCUUGAUGCAGCCAUGCCGCGUGUGUGAAGAAGGCCCGAGGGUUGUAAAGCACUUUCAAUUGUGAGGAAGAUUAAGUAGCUAAUACCUGCUUAGUUUGACGUUAACUUUAGAAGAAGCACCGGCUAACUCUGUGCCAGCAGCCGCGGUAAUACAGAGGGUGCAAGCGUUAUUCGGAAUUACUGGGCGUAAAGCGCGCGUAGGCGGACUGUUAAGUCGGUUGUGAAAGCCCUGGGCUCAACCUAGGAACUGCAUCCGAUACUGGCAAUCUAGAGUUUAAGAGAGGGAAGUGGAAUUCCAGGUGUAGCAGUGAAAUGCGUAGAUAUCUGGAGGAACAUCAGUGGCGAAGGCGACUUCCUGGCUUAAAACUGACGCUGAGGUGCGAAAGCUUGGGUAGCGAACGGGAUUAGAUACCCCGGUAGUCCAAGCCGUAAACGAUGUCAACUAGCUGUUGGUCUUAUUAAAAAGAUUAGUAGCGCAGCUAACGCGAUAAGUUGACCGCCUGGGGAGUACGGU